rnacentral:rRNA from 1 species
AUUACUUGCUUCAAUCUUUCGGGAGAGAACCUUGUUAUGAGAGCGGCGAACGGGUGAGUAAUAAAUGGGUAAUUUGCCUCUUUGUUUGGGAUAGCCAUCGGAAACGAUGAUUAAUACCAGAUGUGAUCAGGCCACUGCAUAGUGGCCUGUUUAAAGGCGGGGAAUCUUCGGAUCCUGUCGCAAAGAGAUAAGCCCAUUUCCUAUCAGCUUGUUGGUGAGGUAAUGGCUCACCAAGGCUUACGGGUAGCCGGCCUGAGAGGGUGAUCGGCCACACUGGGACUGAGACACUGCCCAGACUCCUACGGGAGGCUGCAGUCGAGAAUCAUUCACAAUGCACGAAAGUGUGAUGAUGCGACGCCGCGUGGAGGAAGACGGCCUUCGGGUUGUAAACUCCUGUCAGCAGGGAAGAAAUGUUGCCCCACUAAUAGUGGAGUAACUUGACGGUACCUGCAGAGGAAGUCACGGCUAACUCUGUGCCGGCAGCCGCGGUAAUACAGAGGUGGCGACCGUUGUUCGGAUUUACUGGGCGUAAAGGGUCCGCAGGCGGAUCAGUAUGUCAGAUGUGAAAGCCCACGGCUCAACUGUGGAAUUGCAUUUGAAACUGCUGAUCUAGAGUACUGGAGGGGAGAAGGGAACACUUGGUGUAGCGGUGAAAUGCGUAGAUAUCAAGUGGAACACCGGCGGCGAAGGCGCUUCUCUGGACAGAUACUGACGCUCAUGGACGAAAGUUAGGGUAGCGAAAGGGAUUAGAUACCCCUGUAGUCCUAACCGUAAACGGUGUGCACUAGACGUGGGAGGCUUUACCCCCUUCCGUGUCUGAGCUAACGCAUUAAGUGCACCGCCUGGGGAGUACGGUCGCAAGAUUAAAACUCAAAGGAAUGACGG